CUUUAUAUUUUCUAUUUAAUAGUUAGAUAAAUGGUGGCACAGAAUCGGAGGCCACGACUGUUUACUAAAAACACAACACAGUGCAAUCAUUAAUAUGGUAGUAUACUGUGUGAAAUUUGCCCAAUGCCAUUAAUAUAAAAGCGGUCAUGGGAAACUGUGACUAAUUGAAAAUCUGGUUAAUAGCGGUCUUAACCAUGAGGAUCCUAAGGUAGCAAAAUAAAUUGGCCAUUAAAUGUGGUCCGGUAUCAAUAAUGUAACGAUGGCCUCACUGUCUCUACAACUUGCUCAGUGAAAUUGAAUUACGCGUGCAGAUGCGCGUUACCUCCAGUGGGACGGGAAGACCCUAUGCAGCUUCU
rnacentral:rRNA from 1 species